UAACGCGUGGGCAACCUGCCCCAUAGAGGGGGACAACAGCUGGAAACGGCUGCUAAUACCGCAUAACAAGGAGAGAGCGCAUGUUCUUUUCUUCAAAGAUUUAUCGCUAUGGGAUGGGCCCGCGUCUGAUUAGCUAGUUGGUGAGGUAACGGCUCACCAAGGCGACGAUCAGUAGCCGGCUUGAGAGAGUGAACGGCCACAUUGGGACUGAGACACGGCCCAGACUCCUACGGAAGGCAGCAG
rnacentral:rRNA from 1 species